AUGAAUGUGGUAUGUGAAAAAUAUUGCAAUGGAGAUACUAGAUUAUUAUGACGGCCAUAGAUCAAUCUCAGAUGAGAGGGUAAAUGCUGCCAUGAGCAAGCUAGCUGGAAGAUAGUUGAUACCGGGGUACCUAGCUUCGGGGCAAGAUAUAUUGUCAAGUAAUUUACUAGAUAUCUAUAAAUAUUUGACUGUGAAUCAGUUACUAUUUGUAUAUUAUCUUGAAAGGUCAUGGUAGGAACAUAAACAUCAAAUCCCUGAUACAUUAGCAUUAUGACAUUUCCAGUUCCUUCACAUUUGCAAGUCAACAAAAGAUAAAACGACAUUUCCAGUGAAUUUGGAUGCCAAACUGAUGAUUAGUG
rnacentral:misc_RNA from 1 species